UUCUUAUUACAAGUUGGAACUGAAAGACCCCCGAAAGGAGACCCUCACUCAAGCCUCGGGACAGCCGCAGACCCAAGAAGACACUGAGAACG
rnacentral:pre_miRNA from 7 species